CACCGCGGUUAUACGAGCGGCCCAAGUUGAUAAAAAUCGGCGUAAAGCGUGGUUAAAAAAUGUUUAAACUAGAGCCGAAUAGCCUCAAAGCAGUUAUACGCACUCGAGGCCACGAAGUACAAUUACGAAAGUAGCUCUACCCCACUUUGACUCCACGAAAACCAUAAAA
rnacentral:rRNA from 1 species